AGUAGUGGUGUACAGGUGAGUAAAAGAUAAUUUGGCUACCUUAAAGUAAGGGAAAAAAUCCCUUAUAAAAAUAAAGGAAAAUAAAAAGUCCGCUUUAAGAUGUUAAUCUUUAUCUCGGAGAGUAGUAGGAAAGGUAAUGACUUUUCUAGCUAAAUUCCGUAGUCGUGACUGAGAGGUCGAUCGACCACAUUGGGUCUGAAAAAACCCCAAUGCGUAUUAGUACAGCAGUGAGGAAUAUUGGUCAAUGGCCGAAAGGCUGAACCAGUAACUUGGAAGAAUGUAAGUGUAUUAUAGUAAUACAGUAACGAUUAACUCGUAUAAAAUUCUAAAUAGGAUAAUGAUAAUGACAAUUUCCUAUUUAUAAGUCUUGACCAAAUUACGUGCCAGCAGUCGCGGUAAUACGUAGAAGACUAGUGUUAGUCAUCUUUAUUAGGUUUAAAGGGUACCUAGACGGUAAAUUAAACUCUAAAUGAGUACUUUUUUACUAGAGUUUUAUGAGAGAAGGAAGAAUUUCUGGAGUAGUGAUGAAAUACAUUGAUACCAGAAGGACUGGUAACGGCGAAGGCAUCCUUCUAUGUAAAAACUGACGUUGAGGGACGAAGGCUUGGGUAGCAAUAAGGAUUAGAUACCCUAGUAGUCCAAGCAGAAAAUGAUGAAUGUCAUAGGCUAGAUAAUAUUUAGUCUAUAAAUGAAAGUGUAAGCAUUCCACCUCAAGAGUAAUAUGGCAACAUAUAAACUGAAAUCAUUAGACCGUUUCUGAAACCAGUAGUGAAGUAUGUUAUUUAAUUCGAUGAUCCGCGAAAAACCUUACCACAGUUUGAAUAACAUUAAAUUGUUACAAGCGCUGCACGGCUGUCUUUAGUUAAUGUCGUGAGAUUUGGUUAACUCCUCUAAUUAACGAAAACCCUCACUUUAUUUGUAUACAUAAAGUGGUUCGCCGCUACAUUGGACCAGAUAAUAGGGAUUAAGACAAGUCAUCAUGGCCUAAAUACUGUGGGCUAUAGACGUGCCACAUACGCCUUAACAAAGGGAUGCGAUAUUGUGAAAUGGAGCUAAUCCCCAAAGUUGGAUAUAAUAUGGAUUGUAGUCUGUAACUCGACUACAUGAAUAAGGAAUUACUAGUAAUCGUGAAUCACCAUCGUCA
rnacentral:rRNA from 1 species